GUGUCAUGGGAAGUCAGAGUCUAUAAUGACAGUAACUGAAAUCAAUAACUAAAGUGACACACGAUGCACAGAAGCGAAGCACUGAUCUACUAAAGAGAACUGGACAACUAAGCUGACGUUGUGUCUUUGAUGAUGGUAUGCCAGAUGGAUGCACAAGGAGACACUUCAUGUUCUUAUGAAAUGUGUGAAGCUUGGUGAUAUUGUACAGCUCAUCAUAUCCAGAGGUGACGAAGCGGAAGUAGAAGCAGACAAUGGCC